rnacentral:lncRNA from 1 species
UUUUUUUUUUUUUUUUUUUUUUUGGCAGGUACUUUCUCACCAUUGCAGAACCAAGCUUAAAUGUUAGCUUUCCAAACAAGUCUUUUCCUGACCAAAGUAAAUCCUUCCCAUUAGGCCCUUUCAUAGCACACAGUAUUGUAGCCUCAGAGACAUUAUCAUAAUUAUAAUUGUGUAUUACGAAUCCAUUAACUCAUUAUCAGUCUCUCCCAUUACAUCCUAGAUUUCUUGGAAGAAGAGAACAGUACAUUUGACUCUGCAUCCACGACACCAAGCUGCCUGCCCCAAGGCAGGUGUUAAUAAAUAUUUCUGAACAAAUGAAAAUAGAUUCAGAUGUGCUGUAAAUAUCACACUGGUUAAGAGACUUAGCUGUGAUGUUUACUGAUAGAGUAGUUUCAACAUCAUUAUCCAACAUCAGUGUCAUAUAGGGUUCUUCUUUAUUUAUACAGCAUCUUAUAUUUUUCAGAACAAGUCUGAAUUUUUUUUUUUUUUUUGUCUUUUUGCCUUUGAGGGCCACACCCGAGGCAUAGACCCCCUAGGUUCCCAGGCUAGGGGGACUAUUCUAAGUGCUAGGGAUAUGCUGUGAACAACGUGGACUAGUAUUUCUGACCUAACAGAAUUUACGUUCUAAAGUAUAAGGCAGAGAAUAAACAAAAUAAAUAAGUUGUGGAUGGGUGGUUAGAUGGAUGGAUAACACAGUAAAAAACAAAAAACCGGAUUUAUCAGUGGGAAAAUAAACUUUCCCAGAAUAUUUUGUAUCCUCUGUUAAAAAUCAGUUUCAGGAGGGAAAAAAGGGGUGGUUCAUCUCAUCCACAAUAAUUUUCAAAAGAGGACAGAGAUUUUGUCAAUUGAUUGCUUUAUUUGACUUUACAUGCUCCUGAACAAGUCAAUUUGGUGACCUUGUAAAAAAUGUUUUAAUGCCCAUGAGUUUACGAAGAAAUUUCUUUGGGUCAGAAAGAACAUGUUCAGUCUGGGGAUGCUCCUACAAAAGGAAUCGUCUUUUCAAAUGAGAAUUAACCACUAAGGAUGGAAACACUAGAAGGCAAAAGUCUGGAAGAAAAAAAAGGAAGAUUUUCACACUGAAAAAUGGAUGUCUGUUUAUGUUAAUUUAAUCAAGUCUAUAAUGAAAACAAACAGUUUACACAAUGUAGUUGGGAUCUACUAUCUUCAGACCCACAGCGGCCAGUUCCUGUGUCACAAGUGAGUUCAUUAAGCUUCUUAUGAUUAAUGUACUAAUUUUUCUUUGCAACAUGGAAUGGUGAGAAUCAUUUUGUGUGUUACCACUCGAGAGAUGACGUGAAUACCUGGUACAAGAGGGUGACCACAUUUCUCAUGCUCGGUCUUUGCUACACUGUUACUGGAGAAAACAGCAAGAGGCAUUACAUUCUCUACAUUAUUUCACAAAUUGAUUUCAAUUUUAGAGAAAACAUCUAUUUGUGGCUAAAACUCUACUUCAGACUUAGUGAAAAACACUUCAUGAAUAAGAACAUCUUUUCAGUGUUCCAAGCUAGCUCUUUGAAAGGAGAAAGGAGCCUCACCAAUUCAAUGGCAUUUUCAUUUCCCACAUGAUUUGCAAGGCUCACAAUGUCCUGAUUUGAAAUUUUCUACCUAUUGCAGAGCUAGCAUUGCCUAAUGUCUAAUGUGGUCUCUGAACAUUUCCACUUUCAUCUCAGCCUCUAGCAUUAACUCUUAUACUCUUACUGGCUUCCUGCUCCUUCUUCAUGCUUAUUUUCUGAGGUUCUAAGAGACAAGCGGAUAGAAGGGAGGCUGCAUAUGCCUUGGGAAGGGGUGGGGUAAAUCAAUGAAAUGAUUGAUGAGUGAAAUGAUUUAAUCAGAAUCUGAUUGUCCAAGUUCAACUCCUAGGGCCACAAUUACUAGCUGUGUGACUUUGGGAAAUGUAACUGAUUUCUCUAUGCUACAGUUUUUUUCUUUGGAAAAAUAUCGAUACUGCAACAGAACUGUCACAGGGGUUAAAUAAGUUAUUAUCUGUAGGUAGUGAAUGCCUGGUGUUAGUAACCUCCAUGUGAGUAUUUGCUAGUUGAUGUUCUUCCUACAAGUGGAAGAGGGAAAAAAAAAAAAAAAAAAAAGAGAUUCUUCUGAGGCCAGGAAACAUCUCAGCCUGCUCUGGCUAGAAUUCAAAGUGAUGUCUGGGCAUGUUGACAAGUUGGGGGGUAGGCUUCUUGAAGUGUGUAUCUAUAAACAAUAGAAGAGAUUCCUGGGAAAGAAUUUUUCCUGAGGGCUGAACUUCAUGAUUUAGACCCAGUAACAAAGGUUUUGGUCUUGGUGAAGGAAAGAAUUAUUUUGAUUAUAUCUGAUCUGACCCCAGGCUAGUCUCAUAAGUCAAAUAGACAUAUUUGGUUCUAGGGAGAUAAUGAGCUAUAUAAAAAAGGGAAGAGACAUUUUACUAAAAUCCUAUAAAAUACUGGAGCAUGGCCCUGAGACCCCCUUCUAAAGAGUGUAAGACACUCUUGGGGAAAAAGAGGUGUUAUUCUCCACUUCAGCAGAGCAGCAGUAAAGGGGAGGGGGAAACAGGGUACAAAUCUUUUAGUGGCCACAGACCAAAUGACACUUAGCUAAAGAAGGGUGAAAACUAUUGAUUUCCACAGCCUCUGAAUGCCAUUGGAACCAAGAUCUAGUUAAACUGUUGCUUUCUUACAAUAUGGAGAUUAAAAAAUGUGACAUGGCUCAUAAACUAUUAAGCCAUCAAGAAAUUUCACCUGCUAGAUGUACAAUUCUAACACAGUCCCGAAAGGAAUAAAUACUGUCAUUCAUUAUGCACUAAAUAAAUACUUAUUAAGCCCCUCCUAUGUCCCAGGCACUGCAUGUUAAGUGCUAGGGAUACAAGGGGACAUAAGAUGACAACUUUCUACCCUCAUAGAGCUGUCGGUCUGGAGUGGAGACAAGUCCCCAGACCUCUGGACAUCAGUCAAUGCCUGGAGGGGAAGGCACACAGUGCUGGGAAGCACAUGAGCACAACCUGCCUGGGGCACCCACCAGUGAAGGCUUCGUCUUUGAAGGAAUGAUUUCUAUACUGAGGAGUUGAAGAAUAACUACAAUUGAGGUGGGCAGACAGAGCGAGAAGGAGCAUUCCAACCCAUGGCAAUAGGACGGACGAGGGUCCAGAUGCUAUGCCACAUAGAACUCUUGUAAGCAGAGGCCAGCAAACUGUGGCUACAGGCCAUGGCCUGUUUUUGCAAAUCAAGUUUUAUUGGAACAUUCACUUGCAUAAGGUAUAUAGCUGGUUUCAUGCUAGAAAUGGCAGAGUUGAGUAGUUGUGACAGAGACUGUAUGGUCUGCAAAGACUAAAAUGUUUACUGUUUGGACCUUUACAGAAAAAAAAUGAUGCUAGAGCAUAACAGGGCAAGUGGCAGAGUGGUGAGCACUCUCCCAGGGAAUUGCCUUCAGCAUUUUUCUGGUGUUGGAUUGGACAGCAGUAUAAAGCAAAAUAGAAUGAGCUGACAAGUACGCUUUUCUGUGCAGGUCACAAGUCAAGGCAAUAGCCCCUGUAGCACUAAGAAAGGAAGAGGUGCUUGUGUGUUAUGUUUUUACAUUUGUGCUUCAUCAAGACUUUCCAUAGCACAUAUUUUUAUCCAAGUUACUGGAAGGCACCAACUCUUUACAUGCUGCUGAGACCAAAAACUGUCUCUAGAUUAUUGCCUCAAAUUUCCAGAAACAUGCAGAAUAAACACACUAUCUGACAAGCUACAUGACAAGCCCUCUUAAGAUGAAAUGCUGAAGGCAGGUGGCACACCCAGUGUGGCCACGUUGUCAGUUCUUGAUUGAAAUCACAGUUGAUAUUCUACUGGUUCAGACAGCUAUCAAUAAUAUAUGAGCAGAAAACCUUUACUUUGGGGUUUUAGAAUGACAACAAAAGUUUCACUGAACUUUUGCCCCAUUCAAAAUUUAAUACAUGCUUCUGCCUCAAACCUUCUCCCUUACACUCUUAAAAGUCCUACCACCCUUUGUUCUUAGUUACAUUUAUUUCUGUUGUCUAUAAGAAUUCAGAUAAAUAUCCCACUUCCUGUUCCCAUAGAACACUGUGCUUAGAAACAACAGCAUUCUCUCCUGUCAUGUACCCAAUUCCUGCAACAUCCUUGAGGGCAAAGCUAUAGCCUUCUCACCGUUGUAGGUCCAUGCCUGAAACAUUCGUUGGUCCUCAAUAUAUAUUUACAUACUGUACGCAUGAAAAGGGGAGACCAAUGAUGAUUGGAAUAAUUCUAUGGAAUGAAAUUUUUAUAUAUAGUUCCCUCUUUAGUUAACAAGCAUAAUUACAUGAAUAAUGAGCCAUAUGGUUCUGAUACCAACCACUUUUCCUUCACACCAAGGAAUUAGCCAGGUGUUGCUCAGAGAAUAUUCUCUUUUCUGGUGUAGAUUAUACCUUGUUCUGCUUUACUUUGUCUAGAUUUUGCAAUCACACUGAUUCUCUGCCUCAGAGUCCUACACAGCCGUUUUCAAACACUGCUCCACUAGAAUGGCCACGUCUUUAUGUCAAAAUGUUUAAUAUUUACUAUAAAGACUUCUCAAUCUCUCUCAUAUCAUAAAGAUUUAAUUAACCGUAUUUCUAUGGAGACUUGUUUAUUCCAGCCAGCAAAAUGUUAGCUUCCACACCUUAUACUGAAAAAUGAUAGGUACUCUUUAUCCACCAUAGUUUUCUGUUUUCAGCACUUGUAUUUUCUGCCAUGCCAGGGAGGUGAGAGGCAAUUUUUACACAGAAGAAAAAGUGAUUUCUUAAUUUAUUUCAAGUUGAGACAUCAGUGGCACCUUGAUACUUGCUGGGUGAUAACUUUCUGUUUAAUCGUUUUAUAUCCACAAUCACAUAGAAGAAAUCAAACCAAGUAGAGAAGGACCUAGAACUUCUCAAUGAAGUAAGAUGUUCAAAACGGAGAAAGAUCGUGGUAUAAGGUAGUUGUUUUGCAACCCAUGUCCUUAUAUUUAUUCUUAUUCUUAUCACAUACUUCUUUUGUUAAGUACAUAAUCCAUGGGGUAGGGGGAGGAAAUACCUCACAGUUGAUGUUUCAACAAACUCAAAAUCAACUAGAAUUAAUUGUGUAUUUUCUUUGUACUUAAGAUCUACUUUCAGUGGAGUUCCCGUCGUGGCGCAGUGGUUAACUAAUCCGACUAGGAACCAUG